rnacentral:misc_RNA from 1 species
GAUGAAGAACGUAGCGAAAUGCGAUACGUAAUGUGAAUUGCAGAAUUCAGUGAAUCAUCGAGUCUUUGAACGCACAUUGCGCCCCCUGGUAUUCCGGGGGGCAUGCCUGUCCGAGCGUCAUUGCUGCCCUCAAGCACGGCUUGUGUGUUGGGCCUCCGUCCUCCUCCCGGGGGACGGGCCCGAAAGGCAGCGGCGGCACCGCGUCCGGUCCUCGAGCGUAUGGGGCUUCGUCACCCGCUCUUGUAGGCCCGGCCGGCGCUUGCCGACACAUCAAUCUUUUUUCCAGGUUGACCUCGAAUCAGGUAGGACUACCCGCUGAACUUAAGCAUAUCAAUAAGCGGAGGA